AGCCGGCCCAGCGCCCAGGGGUGUGCGGGAGGCUGCCCGGCCUCGCUGACCUGGCCUAGCGGCCGCCACUCCGCGCUGUGGCCGGCGGGCUCACCUCGGGCCGUGCGCGCCCACCGGCGCGGGGACGUGGGCCCGCUGAGGUCCUCUCCGGCCCGGCGACGCUGACCUUGCAGCCCCAGCCGUGGAUCGCUGGGUUCACCCCUUUCCAAACGGGACACACUGAAGUUCAGGCAGGAGGGUGUCCUGCCCCAGCCGUGACUUGCUCCCCUUGCCCUAGUGCCCCUUCUACCCCUGACCUGCACCCCGAUCGUGCCCCACGCCCUCAGCCCCGUAGUUGCAGAACACCAAUGUGAUGUCUGUAAGUCUGUCAUCUCAGAAGAUUUCACAGGGACGUGUACAGGACAUGUAACUCGGUGCAUAAGUCGGGAUGGGUCGGCUAGGAGAACACACGCACCAGACUGGCCUGCCAGACCAGAGGGCCUCCCCGGAAGAAGCUUGAGAGAGGUAGUGGGGACGGACUUGCAUCCACCUUCAUGUCCUUUCCAGUUGACUCGCAUCCCUCUGGAGUAGCCUGCUCGUGCUGGAGGCAGUGAAUCCCUGCCUUGUAAGGAGGAGACGCACUGCCUUCAUGAGCCAGAGCAGCUGAGGCCCACGGCAACUCCCAGGAGGGCCACUUCCUGCCACCCACAGACCUGGCCUUCUGGCUGCUCCCAAGCCAAUGAACCCCAUGAACCCCAUGAAACCUGCCCUGCCCCCCGCGCCACACGGGU